rnacentral:rRNA from 1 species
CCCUUAGAUGUCCGGGGCCGCACGCGCGCUACACUGAUGCAUUCAACGAGUUCCUACCUUGGCCGAGAGGCCUGGGCAAUCUUUUGAACUUGCAUCGUGAUAGGGAUAGAUUAUUGCAAUUAUUAAUCUUGAACGAGGAAUUCCUAGUAAACGCAGAUCAUCAAUCUGCAUUGAUUACGUCCCUGCCCUUUGUACACACCGCCCGUCGCACCUACCGAUUGAAUGGUCCGGUGAAGCCUCGGGAUUGUGGUUAGUUUCCUUCAUUGGAAGUUAGCCGCGAGAACUUGUCUAAACCUUAUCAUUUAGAGGAAGGUGAAGUCGUAACA